CUAAUGCUCAGUAGUCGAAGCUCGUUCAACAAUUUCUGCUCGUUCCAUUUUAACUGCUUAUACAUUUCAUAAAAGUGAUGAGACGAGGCAAUGAAGUUGGAUUUGACCUUGGAGCUCUAGAAAUGCUCAAAAUUGAGGUAGUUCCUUAACCCUUUGUUCUUAACAUGUGUAUUACCUAUCAAUUUUUGCAUAUUUGGGAAGUUUAUAAAUGAUCUCUAUGUAUAUUAUUUUACAGGUAUGUUUUUUCUCUUGCAAAUAAAUAUUUGUAUCUUUUUAUUUUGUGUAUCUUCUAUAUACUUAUCAAUUAUUACAAAAAAAUAUAUCAAAAAAUAAACUUUGACAUAAAGAAUAUUAAAAAAAUACCAUUUUUCUUUUUGAAUAAAUAGUAAUUAUAUUACCUUAAAGGGUAAUUUUAGAAUUUAGUAAGCUUCAAUCUGUGUACCAUAUUACAACAAGAUAAUGACAGCUAAUAUUCAAAAGAGAUAAGCUAAUAUGCAAAAGAGAUAAGAUUGUUGUAAUUCACUAACGAAACAAAAGUCAAAAGGGGUAUAUACUUUCAAACUUUAAAUUCGUAAAUCCGUUGUAGUUGGUGCUUGAUCGACUUAGAGAGAAAACAUAGUUUAUUUUUUUGAAAACCGUUGUCUAAGAGAGAUAAUUUGAUCUUUUUCUAAUGUAUGUCUACUUAGAUGGAAACAUAAUCUUAUUCAGAUUUUAUUACUACAGGGGAGUCAAAUAUUGACAAGAAAUUAGGAAAAAGAAAUUGUUGAAAUAAAAAAAAAAUUGGUAGCAAAGCUGUCACUCAUUGCAACAUUAUCUAGAGCUUACCAUAGCAAAAUUGGAAGACACAUAAAUGAAGGGGGAAGAUUCUAUCAUGAGUAACCUAUAAAUAUACUUCAUAGUUGGUAACUCUAUCAUUUCUUACCUUACAUAAAAAGUUUGUCAUUCAUUCUUCGAAUAUGCAUAAUGCAAAUUUCCCCCCUUCAACUUUAAUACCUUCUCCUGUACUACUUCAUUGCCCUAUAUGCUAUGGAAUAUUUCAUACUCAUUUUGAAUUCAUGGAUCAUGUACAAG
rnacentral:lncRNA from 1 species